CGCUGAACUUAAGCAUAUCAAUAAGCGGAGGAAAAGAAACCAACAGGGAUUGCCUCAGUAACGGCGAGUGAAGCGGCAACAGCUCAAAUUUGAAAUCUGGCUGCCUGUGCAGUCCGAGUUGUAAUUUGAAGAGGAUGCUUUUGGCAAGGUGCCUUCCGAGUUCCCUGGAAUGGGACGCCAUAGAGGGUGAGAGCCCCGUAUGGUCGGUCGCCGAGCCUCUGUAAAGCUCCUUCGACGAGUCGAGUAGUUUGGGAAUGCUGCUCAAAAUGGGAGGUAAACCCCUUCUAAAGCUAAAUAUUGGCCAGAGACCGAUAGCGCACAAGUAGAGUGAUCGAAAGAUGAAAAGCACUUUGAAAAGAGAGUUAAACAGCACGUGAAAUUGUUGAAAGGGAAGCGCUUGCGACCAGACUUGUGCUCGUCGAAUCAGCCGUCGCUCGUCGGCGGCGCAUUUCGGCGGGCUCAGGCCAGCAUCAGUUCGCUGCAGGGGGAGAAAGGCGGUAGGAAUGUGGCUCUUCGGAGUGUUAUAGCCUACCGUAUAAUACCCCUCGGUGGACUGAGGACCGCGCAUCUCAAGGAUGCUGGCGUAAUGGUUGUCAGCGACCCGUCUUGAAACACGGACCAAGGAGUCGUCCUAAUAUGCGAGUGUUCGGGUGUAAAACCCCUACGCGUAAUGAAAGUGAACGGAGGUGAGAGCUUCGGCGCAUCAUCGACCGAUCCUGAUGUUCUCGGAUGGAUUUGAGUAUGAGCAUAUUGGGCCGGACCCGAAAGAAGGUGAACUAUGCCUGUAUAGGGUAAAGCCAGAGGAAACUCUGGUGGAGGCUCGCAGCGGUUCUGACGUGCAAAUCGAUCGUCAAAUAUGGGCAUGGGGGCGAAAGACUAAUCGAACCUUCUAGUAGCUGGUUUCCGCCGAAGUUUCCCUCAGGAUAGCAGUGUUGAAUUCUCAGUUUUAUGAGGUAAAGCGAAUGAUUAGGGACUCGGGGGCGCUAUUAAGCCUUCAUCCAUUCUCAAACUUUAAAUAUGUAAGAAGCCCUUGUUACUUAAUUGAACGUGGGCAUUCGAAUGUAUCAACACUAGUGGGCCAUUUUUGGUAAGCAGAACUGGCGAUGCGGGAUGAACCGAUCGCGGGGAUAAGGUGCCGGAGUGGACGCUCAUCAGACACCA
rnacentral:rRNA from 1 species